rnacentral:tRNA from 1 species
GAUGGUUUGGCCGAGUGGUCUAAGGCCAUUUAGGCUCUGGUUGAAAGGGCGUGGGUUCAAAUCCCACAGCUGUCA